AACAUUUGUAGCUCUUGGGUUUUUGCAAUCAUUUUAUAUCUACUGUAGACGUAGAUCUAGACCUAUAUCAAGUUUUAUCGAUCUAGAUCUAGAUCUAAGUAAUUUCUAUUUUAUACAGUACAAUAAGUAAAAAAUUACUUUAUAAAAAUCCAGACUCAAAGGUACUCUUGAAAUAAUGGCAUCACUUACUAAUGAAGAUAGUAUUGAACCGGAUUGUAUAACUGAACACUUGUCUAGUCUCUUUACCAGGGAUUGCUAGGAAAAGGUCAGCUCAGAAUUCGUCCGCCUUCAUUUGCGACAUGUUCAACCUCUGCCCCCCAGGUACUGUGUGAAUGGUAAUAUGUUGAAGUCUAUAUGAAUCUCUGUAUAACUCACUUUUUUAUUAUAGGGCUUAAGACAGGGCCCACAUCAGUGAAUAAAUAAGAUUCAUAUUUGAAGUAUGGAAGACAUCUACACAAUAGAAGACAUCUACACAAUAGGACACAUCUACACAAUAGGACACAUCUAUACAAUAGGACACAUCUACACAAUAGGACACAUCUACACAAUAGGACACAUCUAUACAAUAGGACACAUCUACACAAUAG
rnacentral:sRNA from 1 species